UACGUACGAGGCGAGCGUUAUCCGGAAUUACUGGGCGUAAAGCGCGCGCAGGUGGCUUGGUAAGUGAGAUGUGAGAUCUCCCGGCCUAACUGGGAGGGGACAUUUCAGACUGGCAGGCUUGAGGACAGCAGAGGUAGGUGGAAUUCCUGGUGUAGCGGUGAAAUGCGCAGAUAUCAGGAGGAACACCGGUGGCGAAGGCGGGGCUCUGGGCCGAUACUGACGCUGAGGAGCGAAAGCGUGGGGAGCGAACAGG
rnacentral:rRNA from 1 species